UCAAUGAUUGGGACAACCCGGGGAAACUCGGGCCUAAUACCCAAAUGUGUCAUCCUCAAGGGAUGAGGAAGAGCUUCCGGCCUCCGCAUUGAGAUGGGCCCGCGGCCCAUUAGCUUGUUGGUGAGGUAACGGCUCACCAAGGCUUCGAUGGGUAGCUGGUCUGAGAGGACGAUCAGCCACACUGGGACUGAGACACGGCCCAGACUCCUACGGGAGGCAGCAGUGGGGAAUCUUGCACAAUGCGCGAAAGCGUGAUGCAGCAACGCCGCGUGGGGAAGACGGCCUUCGGGUUGUAAACCCCUUUCAGUUGGGACGAAGCUUCGUCGGUGAAUAGCCGGUUGGAGUGACGGUACCUUCAGAAGAAGCCCCGGCUAACUACGUG
rnacentral:rRNA from 1 species